ACUUCCAAAGGAUAACAGUCGAUCCAAUGGUCUUAGGAGCCACCCAUCUUGGUGCAAAUCCAAGUGGAAGUA
rnacentral:tRNA from 1 species